rnacentral:rRNA from 1 species
GGAGUUAGCCGGUGCUUCUUCUGUGAGUGAUGUCCUUCCUGCCGGUUAUUGACCCGCAGGCCUUCUUCCUCACUGAAAGUGCUUUACAACCCGAAGGCCUUCUUCACACACGCGGCAUGGCUGGAUCAGGGUUGCCCCCAUUGUCCAAUAUUCCCCACUGCUGCCUCCCGUAGGAGUCUGGGCCGUGUCUCAGUCCCAGUGUGGCUGAUCAUCCUCUCAGACCAGCUACGGAUCGUCGCCUUGGUGAGCCGUUACCUCACCAACCAGCUAAUCCGACAUAGGCUCAUCCGAUAGCGCGAGGCCCGAAGGUCCCCCGCUUUCCCCCGUAGGGCGUAUGCGGUAUUAGCCUGGGUUUCCCCAGGUUAUCCCCCACUACCGGGCAGAUUCCUAUGCAUUACUCACCCGUCCGCCGCUCGCCACCAGGGAGCAAGCUCCCCGUGCUGCCGCUCGACUUGCAUGUAUUAGCCUCGCCGCCACGCGUUCAUCUGAGCCAGAAUACGAACCCGUACGA